rnacentral:rRNA from 2 species
UUAUUGCGAUGGAGGGACGGAGAAGGCUAGGCCAGCUUGGCGUUGGUUGUCCAAGUUUAAGGUGGUAGGCUGGAAUCUUAGGUAAAUCCGGGAUUCUAAGGCCGAGAGCUGAUGACGAGUUGUCUUUUAGACAACGAAGUGGUUGAUGCCAUGCUUCCAAGAAAAGCUUCUAAGCUUCAGAUAAUCAGGAACCGUACCCCAAACCGACACAGGUGGUUGGGUAGAGAAUACCAAGGCGCUUGAGAGAACUCGGGUGAAGGAACUAGGCAAAAUGGCACCGUAACUUCGGGAGAAGGUGCGCCGAUGAGGGUGAAGCAUUUACUGCGUAAGCUCACGUCGGUCGAAGAUACCAGGCCGCUGCGACUGUUUAUUAAAAACACAGCACUCUGCAAACACGAAAGUGGACGUAUAGGGUGUGACGCCUGCCCGGUGCCGGAAGGUUAAUUGAUGGGGUUAGCUAACGCGAAGCUCUUGAUCGAAGCCCCGGUAAACGGCGGCCGUAACUAUAACGGUCCUAAGGUAGCGAAAUUCCUUGUCGGGUAAGUUCCGACCUGCACGAAUGGCGUAACGAUGGCGGCGCUGUCUCCACCCGAGACUCAGUGAAAUUGAAAUCGCUGUGAAGAUGCAGUGUAUCCGCGGCUAGACGGAAAGACCCCGUGAACCUUUACUAUAGCUUUGCACUGGACUUUGAAUUUGCUUGUGUAGGAUAGGUGGGAGGCUUUGAAGCGUGAACGCCAGUUUGCGUGGAGCCAUCCUUGAAAUACCACCCUGGCAACUUUGAGGUUCUAACUCAGGUCCGUUAUCCGGAUCGAGGACAGUGUAUGGUGGGUAGUUUGACUGGGGCGGUCUCCUCCUAAAGAGUAACGGAGGAGUACGAAGGUGCGCUCAGACCGGUCGGAAAUCGGUCGUAGAGUAUAAAGGCAAAAGCGCGCUUGACUGCGAGACAGACACGUCGAGCAGGUACGAAAGUAGGUCUUAGUGAUCCGGUGGUUCUGUAUGGAAGGGCCAUCGCUCAACGGAUAAAAGGUACUCCGGGGAUAACAGGCUGAUACCGCCCAAGAGUUCAUAUCGACGGCGGUGUUUGGCACCUCGAUGUCGGCUCAUCACAUCCUGGGGCUGAAGCCGGUCCCAAGGGUAUGGCUGUUCGCCAUUUAAAGUGGUACGCGAGCUGGGUUUAGAACGUCGUGAGACAGUUCGGUCCCUAUCUGCCGUGGACGUUUGAGAUUUGAGAGGGGCUGCUCCUAGUACGAGAGGACCGGAGUGGACGAACCUCUGGUGUUCCGGUUGUCACGCCAGUGGCAUUGCCGGGUAGCUAUGUUCGGGAAAGAUAACCGCUGAAAGCAUCUAAGCGGGAAACUUGCCUCAAGAUGAGAUCUCACUGGAACCUUGAGUUCCCUAAAGGGCCGUCGAAGACUACGACGUUGAUAGGUUGGGUGUGUAAGCGCUGUGAGGCGUUGAGCUAACCAAUACUAAUUGCCCGUGAGGCUUGACCAUAUAACACCCAAGCAAUU